rnacentral:rRNA from 1 species
UGGGGAAUUGUUCGCAAUGGGCGCAAGCCUGACGACGCAACGCCGCGUGGAGGACGAAGAUCUUCGGGUCGUAAACUCCUGUCGAGCGGAACGAACGCUUCGCGGAUGAAUAAUCCGCGGAGGUGACGGUACCGCUAAAGGAAGCCCCGGCUAACUCCGUGCCAGCAGCCGCGGUAAUACGGGGGGGGCAAGCGUUGUUCGGAAUUACUGGGCGUAAAGGGCUCGUAGGUGGCCAACUAAGUCAGACGUGAAAUCCCCAGGCUCAACUUGGGAACUGCGUCUGAUACUGGAUGGCUUGAAUUCGGGAGAGGGAUGCAGAAUUCCAGGUGUAGCGGUGAAAUGCGUAGAUAUCUGGAGGAUACCGGUGGCGAAGGCGGCAUCCUGGACCGAGAUUGACACUGAUGAGCGAAAGCCAGGGGAGCGAAACGGGAUUAGAUACCCCCGGUAGUCCGUGGCCCUAAACGAUGAAUGCUUGGUGUGACGGUAUCGAUCCCUGUCGUGCCGAAG